CAGCAGGGGAGAGGAGAGUUAGGUGGUUUAUCUGCUGACAUCCAAUCAUCUGGUGCCUGAAAAGAAGCAUCUGGGAAUGCAUUUCAAGAAAUGAAGCUAAAAAUCCUGUGUUUGCUCCUGGUCACAAGUCUCCUCCUCCCCGUGUCAACACCUUGGAAUCAUUUGUAUUCUAAUUCUUUUGUCUCCUGGUAACUAAAGGGAGCUAAGAUAAUCAGUGCAGCUUUAGUACUUCUCCAGCCUGAAGAAGAAAAAGUUAUCAAACAACAAAACUCAAUUUAAAUUGAGAUACAAGCGGAGGAGUUCUCUGACUGCAAUUGGGGCUUGAGUAAACCAGAGCUCACCUGGUUUACAUCACUUGUCAUUUCACUCUGGGCAUUGAAUUCUGUCCUGACCCCCACAGAGUAGUUCGUGAACAACUCUUCUGGGUUACUGAAAUGCAAUGGCAUUUUGGAAAGGAGCCUGCACAUUUUCAGAACUUUUUUGGAAAUACGUUUGUGUUGGUGAUCCAGACCACCCACCAAAGCCAUGGGGGCUGUCAGGGGACACCUACCUCCAGGGCAAGUCAUCCAUUUGCUGGUCAGCAACCAGUAGUAACCGUCCUUCAGAUGGGAAUUCUAAGAUGACGCUAAAGGGCACUGGACCAGUACGGUCAGCACUGGUAACAGUCCUGGACCAGGUCCACACAGAGGCUGUGAAAACAGAAGAUUUAAAGAAGAGAUGAGGGAAACGAGGUUGCCAUAGAAAGAGACAAAGAAAGAAAGCAAUUGUGUGUAAAAUAGAGUUCUUUUCCAGCUCCAGAAAGAUUGAUGGUCACUCUUGACCAAAUCAAGAGCACAGGGGGUUAAUUAGUGAUUUUUCAUCGUGCUAUUUAAACCUCAAAAAUUUCCUAGAGAUUCUCAGAUAUGUAGCAAUGUGUAAAUUGAUGGCUUGCAUAUCAUGUAACUGGUUACAAACCUGACUUGGGUAUGUAACCAAUGGGGCCUGAUAUGUCCUGUUGGAAACUUAUGCCUGGUGUCUCCUGAAACCAAGAUUUCUUGCACAUAACUGCUGUUUCAUGAUCCACAAAGUGUGUCUCGUGUGACUCAAAACCUACUAAGUCUCUCCUAGCAGGUGCUCGGCCCAGAUGUGUGCCUGCCAUUCCUUUGCUUUACCACAUCCUUCACCUUUAUUAAAGUCUCUCAAGGAUGUGUUCUGUGGAGUCUGAGUCCUUCUAAUUAUCUGAACCCAUGUAAGCAUGAGAUGCCACCUUGGAUCACAAGAGCAUCCCUCUUAUCAUGACCCAUUCCAUCACUUGUCCUUGUCACCUAUUUCCAAACACCAAAUUCACCUUUACAUAAUUUGAACAGGCUUCUAUUGUUGCAACCAAAUGCUUUCCUGGGGCAAAAACAAUAAAAAUGUGCUUUUGAGCAAGGCUACAUAAUAUGUGUCACCCCGGAGAGAUGCAGAGAUUGCACAGAUGAAAACUUGGAUAUAUACUCUCUGGAUUAUUUUAACUUGUGUGGAAGGCUCCUGGAAGGAGAGCUCUGGAAACAAACUCAGUGCCACCCCCGCACGUCCCCCAAGGUAAAAAGAGUCAUAAGUCAGAACUGAGGAGUGGGCUACAGUAUCGUUGACUAUGAAACUGGAGUUGGAAAUGCAGCUGAAGUCCACUGGAGCCAAGAUCCUUUCCCUUCUUUUCGAUAAGACUCUGGCCUUGCUGACAGGAAGCAUGACAUGAGAAAAUCAGGAGGUGUGUAAACUAUCCCAUUAAAUGGAGGAGUGCUCUCACGCGUGUAAGAUCUUCUGGAAUGGUAACACAUGCUUGGAGUGAGAAAAGUGAGAGCUGAGCUCUUCCCCCAGCUGGAUAGGGAGAGCAAGACAAUAAGAAAAAUGCGGUACUGAAGGACAUAUUUGUGUGCUUGCAUGCCUUUCGUUGUUUGGAAAUGCCUACCUUAUUUGCCAGCUUCCUUGCCUUGAAAGGUUGGUGAGUCCCCAAGGGAGCACGCAUUUGGUUUUGUUUCAAGGUGAGAUGUCCAGGGUCUGGAUGGUGAUGUCUGAUGCCAGGCUCUGGCAGCCCAGGAUAGGCCACGGUGGUCCUAACCGGGUCUCCACCGCCAUCCCUACCCUCUCUCGGGGACCUGGGCACCCUGACCCCUGACCCUGCCCAUCUCGAGCAGCAUACCAUGCUCCCUCUCCAGGGCUUUGGAUAACAACGCAAGCCUUAUCUGUUGAGUUUUGUGAAUGCCUUCCAAAUACAGCUGGGUGCUCUGUGACUUUCCUGUCAACAAUUAGCCAGUCUUUAUAAACCAAUUCAUCAUAAUUCAUUCCUGGAAAAACCAUCCAAACUACCAUUAGAGUCUAGUGCCUCCUCCCAGGGAACAGGUGGAUUUUCCUAUCUGCAAUUUUAGAUAAUGCCCCCAGGGUUUACGAUCAAUCCGAUCUAGAAUUGUUACAAUGAACCAACUACUCAGGGGAGUCAGAAGGGGAAAAACGGUGCCAAGAACAAACAGGAUUCCACUUAGCUAACUCCUUCAUGAGCUCCUGGGUUACCCCUGUUCCAUAAACUUCAGCAUUCAGGGAGAUCUAGGCUUUCUGCUCCAAAAAAUAUUAGAAUAAAUUGAAAAGGAAACACAGAGACUCACAUGAGACAUUUAUGCCAAGGAAGGGAGGCGACAGAAACGGAGACAGUGUGUUCAGUAACAGGCCUCCAUUGCUUCUGGAUCAAAGGCAGCUGCCAUUCACCUUGUUGCUCUUGCCUUCCUCAAUGAGUGCUGUUGAACAACAAAAUUCAACUGAGUAAAUGUUAAAGAUCUUAUCGGCUUUCCUCAAUGAUUCAUGAGUCGAGCAGCACUCCAUCUAGCACAUAAAAAGGAGCUCCAAGUUGCUGCACAAAAUAAAAGACUUUCACAGCUGAGGGAAGUAGAGACAAGGAAAUUACAAAAAAAAAAAAAAGUGACCUGUGGCCAGGUGACUUUCCUUCAGGAAUGGCUGGGAUCCACCAGGCCGAUGACCACCCAAGUGGUCACCAGGUGACUCCUGGCUGAUGGGUUAAAGAUUCCAUUUCUGGGAGAGGUUGACUCCAUAAAUUAAAUCUUGGUUUAGUGACCUGGGACUUAGCAUAAGUGACUCAAUUUUGCUCCUGUUGUCUUGAUUUUAAUAAUGUUUUCAGAUCCUGUCUUUGAGUUUUCAGUAAUUUGUUUCCGAAACAGUAGGCAUAGUUUCUUUUUAAAAUCGUCCUUUUGUUUAUUUAUUUUUUUUACUGUGGUUGUACCCUGGUACUUGAAUACAUAGCUGAUAUUUUUAACCAAAUUAGAAACUUAUGACAGUUGUUUCUUCAAAAUCGCUUGAUUUAUUUUUACUUUCCUCGUCUGCUGAGCACCAAGUUUGCUAUGUUCAUACCUUUCUUCUUUGACCUACAGCCUGCGUGUUUUCUAUUGCAGGGGCUUCCAGCUGACCAAUCUCUCCCUGUAGAUCUGCUCUGUAGAUCAUCAUGUGAAUUUCGAUAUCCGAUAUUGUAUAUUUCAGUAGAGUUUUUCUGUUUUCUUCUUUUCCCCCGGUUUUUACUUUACUUUCUAAUCCUCCUCAUAUAUUCAUUCAUUACAUCUGUAUUUUCCUAUAGGCUCUUAAACAUAUUUUAUAGUUAAUUUAUGCUAAGUCCAGAAAGAUUUUCUGGGUUUUCUAUUAAACCUGGGUCACUUUUUAUCUAAGUUCAUCUAAAUGAUUCAGAGCUAUCUUAAUUGUAUAUGGAGCACUGUGGAUGAUACAUUGUAGAGACUGUAAAAUCUAUGCUCUUUCCUGAAACAUGUUGUUUUUUAUUAGCAGGUACUGAAAUGACUCUUGGAUCACCACAAAGCUGUAGAGGCUUUUGGUCUAGCUUUUCUGGACAGUGUUUAGACAUAUCCUUAAGCUCUUUGAGACUUCUCCCAUUGAUAGAUGUGGCCCAUGACCUCUCCUUGGAGUCUGGAUAGGACUUUGACUUGCUUAUAUUGGGGAAGGAUGUGACAGAUUGAUUCUGAUUGACUUCUGAGGCAAGGUCAGAGAAAGAGAUUGAGUGUCUCACUUGUUUUCUGGGAGACUCACCUAAGGACACGUGGGUCUGGUAGGUCAGCUUCCAUCUCGUUCAUUAGAUCACUUGACAUCUUCAGCCAUUACGUGGGCAAUCCAACAACCCUGAGUUCCUCUCUUCUUUUAUGAAGCCCAGGACACAUGGAAGGGCCACGAGUAAGUGCUCCACCCCCAAAUUCCAGCUUAAGUCCAGGAAAGCUAGCAGCAACUACUAGAUGUGAAGAGAGAUACCCUCAAGUAAUUCCAGCUCCUAGCCCCCAAGUCACCUUCACUGCCAAUCUUCUCAGCUAAAAGAGUCGCACAUCCUAUCCCCUUUCUUAUUUUGUCCAUGGGUGUUUUGUUUGUUUGUGAGUUUUUUUCUUUGUUCACUUACAUCUCCAGCAUAGUUCUUAAUUCUGGAAUACGAUCCUUACUACUGGGACACGGGUAUCGUGGGAUUUCAAAGAAAACCCAAAACAUUUAUCCAAUGUCCCUAACUUGGUGACAUUUCAACUAGAAUACUUUUUUAACAUUUGGAUGAUCUGGACACCUUGAUCAGCUUUUUCUCUGUCCAGGUACUGCCUUGCUCUGACAUCCUUAGCUUCUCCCUUCCUACACAGAUAUUCAGGACUGCCGACCCCAUGAUUUGAGGCACCUCCCUUUAUGGCCUUUUAUUUUCUUGGUUUUUCUUAUGCCGAAAUAUUGAUUUUGAACUACAUUUAACAUGAAUACUUAUGAGGUUUUUUUUAUUUUAAAUAAAGACAUAGAAACACACACACAUAUAUAGAUAGGGAUAUUAGAACAACAGCACCAGUGAAAUUGAAAUAAUAUCACUAGUAACAGUUGAAGGCCUUCCUUCCUCUUUCCUUCUUACGUUUCUUCCUUCCUUCUUUUCUUUCUUUCUCUUUAUCUUUUUCUUCUCCUGCUCACUUAGUUAUUUACUUAUUUAUGUAAGCAGUUGAGCUGUCUUUGUGAUAUAUCUUACUGUAAAAGUACAGUUAACUCAUGGCUUUUUAAAAUCUCUUGAAGAAAAUCCUUCUCAACAUGGUUAAGCCAACAACUCAAUACAUAGAUGAAAGCAUUUAUUAUGUUUUUAUUCCAAAAUGUCUAGAUUUCAUUCUUAAAUUGUAUUUAUCUCUGCAUUAUAAUUAUGCAACCCAUUCACAUGGCAUUAUUUCCACAGCUCUUAAUUUAACUUUUUCUAUUUAUUAACAUACUUGCAAAAGUGUAGUUCUCCUAUUCCUUUUUAAAUAAGCAAGGGCAUUUUAUAUAAACUUGUCUCUCCUUCUUUCUUUUUCCCCAAACAAUAUACCCUACCUAUACUCUCCUUGCAGUAUGUAGAAAUAAUAUUAAUUACUUUUCACACCAUUGUUGGGACAUACUAUACUUUUUUUUUCAAGCAAUUCCCUAUGGAAUACCAGUUUUCCUCCUGUCUUUCACUGUUGUAAAUACUGUGGCAAUGGAUGUCCUGACUUACAUAGUUUUUGUACAAUUGCUAGUAUAUUUUUGCACAUGGAUUCCUGGAAAUGGGGUUGCUUAUAUAAAGGGGAAAGACAUAGGGUAAUCUUUCUCAAUAUUGCUAAAGUCCCUGUAUAAGAUUUGCUCCAUUUCACAUUCCCACAAGAGCCAUGUGUCUCAGUCACAGAAGAUAUUUUCCAACUUCUGUGUAUUUUUGCCAUAGGAGCAUGAGAAAUGGUAACUUGCUGUCAUAUUAAAUCCAUCACUUUUUGUGAUGAUUGGCCCAUUGCAUUCAUUUUUCGAAAAACCCUCUAAUCAUGUUUCUGGCCCAGUUGUGUUUUGGUUUUUGGAUUUAGGGGUUGGAGGUUUUUUUUUUUUUUUUUUUCCUAGUUAGAAGCCAUUGUUCUGUCAUAUAAGUUGCCAAUAUUUUCUUCAGUUUUUUAAUUUGUCUCUUACUCUGCUAUAGUCUGUAUUUUUUGCCAUGGGAUAAACUUUAAAGGAAUUGUAUACGUAAAGCAUUAACAUUACUGUUCCUGGAAUUACAGUUAUAAUCAGACUAUGUUUUUCUCCUAUCAUGUUUUUUUUUCUCCUAUCAUGUUAUAUAGAUGUUCAUAAAUGUUUAACAUUAAUAUUUGCAUGGAGUCAGUCUCUUACAUUUAAAAUUCUGAUUUAUUUGAAAUUUAAGUAGAGUCUACUGUAGAAGAAUGAAAUAAUUUUAUUUCUUUACAGAUAGCAAUCCAGGUAUCUUAACACUGGUUUUUAAGCUUUUUUUCUCCCUGUUGUUAAGAAUUUCUGGUGAGAUUUUCACUUUUGUUUCCAUGAAGAAUUCCAUCUGUUACUCAAUUUUUUUUAAAGGUCCAAAUGUUUACAAUGUAAACAGAAAUUUUCUGUCCCUAAAUAGGGAUUUAUCUUUUAAUUUUGAAAUAAAUGUAUUGAUUUUUUUCAGUCA